rnacentral:rRNA from 1 species
UUUAAAUUUAAUUACUUUUUUUUAUUUUUAAUUGUUUAUAAAUUGAAGUUUAUUAAUUUUAUUUGUUUUAGUAUUUUUAUUUAAUUAAUUAUUUUAGUUAUAUUUUAUUUUUACUGUUAAGGAUAUUUUUUAUUAUUUUUAAAGUAGAUAUGUUGUUGUACCUUUUGUAUCAGGGUUGAUUUAAUAUAAUUUAUUUAUUUAUUUUUCUCGAAUUAAUUUGAUCUAAUUUUUUAUGUUAUUUAUUGUUUUAUAAAUAUUUAUUAUAAAUUAUUAGUUGUGAUAUGCUAUUCGUAAAUUAAUAUAUCUAGUUUUCUAAUAUAUGAAUUUAAUUCAGUUAUUAUUAUUUAUUUUUAUUAUUAUUUAUAAAUUUAUUUAUUAAUGAUUAGAUUUUGGGGGAUUAGCUCCGAAUUUGUUUUAUAAUUUUUAUAAUUUUAAUAUUAUGUAGGUUUUAUAUUGGCCAUCUUUAUUUAUUAUAUUAUAAUUUUUUAUUUUUUUAUUGUUAUUUAUUUUUAUUUAAUUAUUUAUUGGAAUAUUUUAUCUAAUUAUUUAUUAUUUGAAAUAAUGAUUAAAUUAGUAUAUUUUUUUUUAUUUGUAUUUUUUUUGUUAAAUUUUUAUAAGGAACUAGGCAAAUUUAUUUAUUCGCCUGUUUAUCAAAAACAUCUUUUCUUGAUAUUUAUUUGAGAUUUGACCUGCCCAAUGAUAAUUAUUUAAUGGCCGCAGUAUUCUGACUGUGCAAAGGUAGCAUAAUCAUUAGUUCAUUAAUUGUGGACUUGUAUGAAUGGUUGGACGAAAUAUUAGCUGUCUCUUAUUUAAGAUUAGAAUUUAAAUUUUGAGUUAAAAUGCUUAAAUUUUAUUAUUGGACGAGAAGACCCUAUAGAUCUUUAUUUUAAUUUUUAUUAGCUAUUUUAGUUUAUUUAUUGUUUAUAAUUUUUUAUUAUUUUGUUGGGGUGACAUUGAGAUAUAAUUAACUCUUUAUAUUAAUAUACAAUUAUUUUUGUUUAAUUGACUUUAUUUUAAUGUUAUAAGAUUAGAUACCUUAGGGAUAACAGCGUAAUUUUCUUUGAGAGUUCAUAUCGACAGGAAAGAUUGCGACCUCGAUGUUGGAUUAAGAUUAUAUUUGGGUGUAGUAGCUUAAGCAUUAGGUCUGUUCGACCUUUAAAAUCUUACAUGAUCUGAGUUCAAACCGGCGUGAGCCAGGUUGGUUUCUAUCCAUAAUUUUAUUUUUUAUGUUAGUACGAAAGGACCAUAUAAUUUAAAUAUUUUAUUUUUUUUUGAUUUACAUUA